AGCAGCCGCGGUAAUUCCAGCUCCAAUAGCGUAUAUUAAAGUUGUUGCAGUUAAAAAGCUCGUAGUUGAAUUUCGGGAUCAAUGCGUCGGUCGUGCCUUCGGUACGUACUAGCGUCAUUGAUUCCUCCCUUCUGAAGAACCGUGAUGUCAUUAAUUUGGUGUUACGGGGAAUCAGGACUGUUACCUUGAAAAAUUAGAGUGUUUAAAGCAGGCUAACGCUUGAAUACAUUAGCAUGGAAUAAUGAAAUAGGACGUUCGAACCUAUUUUGUUGGUUUCUAGGAUCGACGUAAUGAUUAAUAGGGAUAGUUGGGGGCAUUAGUAUUCAAUUGUCAGAGAUGAAAUUCUUGGAUUUAUUGAAGACUAACUACUGCGAAAGCAUUUGCCAAGGAUGUUUUCAUUAAUCAAGAACGAAAGUUAGGGGAUCGAAGACGAUCAGAUACCGUCGUAGUCUUAACCAUAAACUAUGCCGACUAGGGAUCGGAUGAUGUUAAUUUUUAAUGUACUCA
rnacentral:rRNA from 1 species